AUUACAAUAGGUAUACAUCAAUUACAGUAGGCAUUUAAACAUCUAUAUGUUUUUUAGUUCCUGGGGAAAAAAGUUACUUAGAAUUAUCUAAAUUACUGAAACUAACAUAUUAAAAAUUAACAAUUGCAUAUUGAUAAAACUACUAAUGUUAUGUAAUAAAACUCUAACUUCAUUCAGUUGUGUAUCCUGAAAGAUCCUAAGUAUACAGUUUUAUAUAUAAAUUGUGUUUCUAUAGAUGUAAUUUAUACGAUACGAUGUAAAAUAAGUAGAAUCUGUUUAAAGAGUAUGAGGUUUAGAUCUGAUAAUAUAUGUAAGUAAUCAAGGAUUUGUUAUAUUAAUAUUUUAUUUAACAUCAUCCUCGACACCUUUUACUCCGUCUUCUUUGUUCUUUACAAUAUCAUAUUGCUUCACUACAUAAAUUAUAUAUUUAUUCACGAGACAAAAAUUAUUCUGAAACCGGAUUUUAAGCCGGUACAGCAUCUCAAAGCUUCUUGUGAAAGCUUUUACGGUUUUCUUUUCUUUCUUUCUGUAUCUUAUCUUUUUUUCAUUGAAUCCUGAAUUGCACUAUUCAUUUUCUUAAAGACAUUAACAUUUAUGUUUUGCAAUUUUACAAUAAUAUUGUUCUAAUAUGAUAUAAUCUUUCAUUUCUUAAUGUAAUAUUCUUUACGUUGCAAUCUAUGUGGAAGGUGUCGAGAUUGGUAUAAUUACAGAAUAUUAACAAAAUACUUAAAGACAUAUUCUAAAGGAAAGAAUAUGUUUUAUUGUAAUUUCAUGUUUUACUGUAAUUUUACCGCAAGAGCACAAUGAUGUCAUUCGUAACAAACGGAACUACCAAAUGACGUCAUCUGUGACAAACGGAACUAUAUACUAAAUGUAUUUAAAAUACUAUGUAUAUACAUACUUAUAAAUACGUAUAUACAAUCAGAGCGGAAAUCCUCUGUGAUACAAUAUGUCUGUAAUUAUAGAAACUUUGUAAUCAUAAAUCAACAAUAAGAAUAAGAAUGGUGAAUGUUCUGGUGAAUGGUGAAUUGAUGGAAUCUAUUCUAUCCAUCGAAUAUAUUGGAUAGAAAUCCGUUUUAAGUAUGACCGAAUAUUUCAUAGCGAUAUUUAACCCUCUAUUAGAUGUGGUACGAAUCAGACCAUUGAUUAAUAAGCAAGAACAAAAUAAUUAAUCAACAAAGAAUUCAACUAGCAACUAGCCUUGCAUUGUAAAAGUAUCAAACGCAGUUAGUACUAGUGAUACAAAUAAUAACAACGACACCUAAGUAAAGAAAGACUACUCUUACGGUCCUCAGCAAUAAAAAUUAGGGAAUAUAUUAACAAUAGUUUGGAUAGAGAUAUUAGUUAUGUAUUAAAUUAACGCUACCUGUGAUCUUUUAUUUCAAUUCUUGUUUAAUUCCAAUUGUUUGACUAAUUAGUUAAAGAAAUCUCCAAUAGAAAGUUAGUGAUCUAUAAAUAUGAUUGAAUUACAUACACAUGUACUUAUAUAGUCUGCUUGGAAAAAGCACAUUGACGGAUCGACGUUGGUAUGUCUCAUAGUAGAAUGUAGAAGCAUCGGGAUUUCUUCAGCGAGACAGUUUUAGUUAGAAAGCUUCAAAACUGUUAUUUAUCAUAUAAUCAUAAAUCAAAUUUGAAGUAAAAAUUCCAAACAUGAUACAUUUGUUCAUCAUCUGGUUAAAAUGCAAAUUAUCUUCAAAUUUUUCAAACAAUAAUACGCUUUUUGUCAGAAAUAUAAAUAAAAUACACCAUAUUCUUGAACAACGUGGGAGUUUGAAACACCGACUAAUGGAAUAGCUGAAAAUCUGUGUAUGUAUAAUUUUUGAUUCCUCGAAAAUUUAACUGCAAUAAUUUAUCGUUUCGUCGUCAAUUAAAAAUUAUUUAUUUUGUAUGCUACAUGUAUUACAUUUAUUAUUGUGUAUUUAUAAUAAAAUAAGACAGCAAAGUAGCAGAUUAAGAAAUUCUCACGAAAAGUGAUCUGUUCAAUACAAAUCGGUAACAUACAAUGGAUCUUUUAAUGAUAUAUUAUUUUACCAUAAAUCUUUUUCUUUUUUCCAUAAAUAGCGUUAUUGUUGUAACGAGCUGAAUGAAUUAAUUCGAAACAAGCGUGCGAUCACAUAUGGAAAAAUCCAUAUAUCUAAUAUCACAUUAUUUAAAUCUGUAUUAUUAAAGGGUCAAUUGUAUAUGUAAAGUAAAA